rnacentral:rRNA from 1 species
AGAGUUUGAUCCUGGCUCAGAAUCAACGCUGGCGGCGCGCUUAACACAUGCAAGUCGAACGAGAAAGUGGAGCAAUCCAUGAGUACAGUGGCGUACGGGUGAGUAACACGUGGGUAAUCUGCCUUUUAGUGAGGAAUAACGAUGGGAAACCGUCGCUAAUACCGCAUAAGCCCCCAGACCGAAAGGAAUGGCGGGGAAAGCAGCAAUGCGCUGAAAGAGGAGCCCGCGGCCGAUUAGCUAGUUGGUAGGGUAAGAGCCUACCAAGGCAGAGAUCGGUAGCCGGCCUGAGAGGGCACACGGCCACACUGGCACUGAAACACGGGCCAGACUCCUACGGGAGGCAGCAGUGGGGAAUCUUGCACAAUGGGGGCAACCCUGAUGCAGCGACGCCGCGUGAGCGAUGAAGCCCUUCGGGGUGUAAAGCUCUUUCGGCAGGGAAGAUUAUGACGGUACCUGCAGAAGCAGCUGCGGCUAACUACGUGCCAGCAGCCGCGGUAAUACGUAGGCAGCGAGCGUUGUUCGGAGUUACUGGGCGUAAAGGGUGUGUAGGCGGUUCUUUAAGUUUGGUGUGAAAUCUCCCGGCUCAACCGGGAGGGUGCGCCGAAUACUGAGGGACUAGAGUGUGGGAGAGGAAAGUGGAAUUCCUGGUGUAGCGGUGAAAUGCGUAGAUAUCAGGAGGAACACCGGUGGUGUAGACGGCUUUCUGGACCAUAACUGACGCUGAGACACGAAAGCGUGGGUAGCAAACAGGAUUAGAUACCCUAGUAGUCC